AUACGGAGGACGCGAGCGUUAUCCGGAUUCAUUGGGUUUAAAGGGUGCGCAGGCGGCCGUGCAAGUCAGUGGUGAAAGCCCGGGGCUCAACCCCGGAAGUGCCGUUGAUACUGCAUGGCUGGAAUGCGGUCGAGGCGGGCGGAACGUGGCGUGUAGCGGGGGAAUGCGUAGAUAUGCCACAGAACGCCGAUAGCGGAGGCAGCUCGCCAGGCCUGCAUUGACGCUCGGGCACGAAAGCGUGGGGAUCGAACAGGAUUAGAUACCCUGGUAGUCCACGCCGUAAACGAUGGGCGCUCGUCGUCGGCGGCAGACAGUCGGCGGCCAAGCGAAAGCGAUAAGCGCCCCACCUGGGGAGUACGGUCGCAAGACUGAAACUUAAAGGAAUUGACGGGG
rnacentral:rRNA from 1 species